rnacentral:rRNA from 1 species
GAUGAACGCUGGCGGCGUGCCUAAUACAUGCAAGUCGAGCGAACGGACGAGAAGCUUGCUUCUCUGAUGUUAGCGGCGGACGGGUGAGUAACACGUGGAUAACCUACCUAUAAGACUGGGAUAACUUCGGGAAACCGUAGCUAAUACCGGAUAAUAUUUUGAAGCGCAUGGUUCAAAAGUGAAAGACGGUCUUGCUGUCACUUAUCGAUGGAUCCGCGCUGCAUUAGCUAGUUGGUAAGGUAACGGCUUACCAAGGCAACGAUGCGUAGCCGACGUGAGAGGGUGAUAGGCCACACUGGAACGGAGACACGGUCCAGACUCCUACGGGAGGCAGCAGUAGGGAAUCUUACGCAGUGGGCGAAAGCCUGACGGAGCAACGCCGCGUGAGUGAUGACGGUCUUCCGAUCGUAAAACUCUGUUAUUAGGGAAGAACAUAUGUGUAAGUAACUGUGCACAUCGUGACGGUAACGAAUCAGAAAGCCACGGCUAACUACGUG